rnacentral:rRNA from 1 species
UACGGGGGGGGCAAGCGUUGUUCGGAAUUACUGGGCGUAAAGGGCUCGUAGGCGGCCAACUAAGUCAGACGUGAAAUCCCCUCGGCUUAACCGGGGAACUGCGUCUGAUACUGGUUGGCUUGAAUCCGGGAGAGGGAUGUGGAAUUCCAGGUGUAGCGGUGAAAUGCGUAGAUAUCUGGAGGAACACCGGUGGCGAAGGCGGCAUCCUGGACCGGUAUUGACGCUGAGGAGCGAAAGCCAGGGGAGCAAACGGG